ensembl:snoRNA
AGGAAAGGCUUCAAUUGCUUUCAUCCUAAAGAUGAAAGCUCCAUUCUAUUGAAUCAUGCCAGAAUAACCUAGAGAGGCUCUGGCAGCACAGGUCAGCAUAACACCUGUAGCUGCCUCUCAUCUUGCCUACAUUU